UUAGCUGGGGCGACACAUCUGUUAAAAGAUAAUGCAGGUGUCCUAAGAUGAGCUCAAUGAGAACUGAAAUCUCAUGUGGAACAGAAGGGUAAAAGCUCAUUUGAUUUUGAUUUCUAGUACGAAUACAAUCUGUGAAUGUGUGGCCUAACGAUCCAUUAGACCUUCAGAAUUCGAAGCUAGAG
rnacentral:rRNA from 1 species